CGAAUGAAAUGCAGCAAACAAAAAAGAAAACACCCCCGAAUGAAAUGCAGCAAACAAAAAGUGUUGAAAACGGAAGUGCUCCAGACCACUAGGGGGAGUCAAAGAAAAUAGUAUUCAUUUCUAUGGGACCAGAUGCAAGAUUCAGAGAAAGAUAUUUGAAAGAAAGUAAAGGUGGCCAUGUUUUGCUGUUUCUGUGGACAAAAUCUAGGAAAAAUUCAAGUUUUCUGUUUUUCAUGUGGGAAGAAUGUGCAGAUCUUGGCACAAGCUCAAGACACUGCUUGAGCGUUGCCAGCCAUAUGUAUGGCUCCUCAACAGCCAACCAACGCAUCGAAAGCUGGUGGUCAUAUUUCAGAAAACAAAGAUCUCAGUUCUGGAUUGAUCUCAUGAACGAUUUGAAGGAAAGACAUCUCUUCAAUGGAAGUCAUG